rnacentral:rRNA from 1 species
UACGGAGGGGGCGAGCGUUGUUCGGAAUUAUUGGGCGUAAAGGGUGCGUAGGCAGUUUGGUAAGUCUGAUGUGAAAUCUAUGGGCUCAAUCUCAUAGUCUGCAUCGGAAACUGCCGGGCUUGAGUGUGGGAGAGGUGAGUGGAAUUCCUGGUGUAGCGGUGAAAUGCGUAGAUAUCAGGAGGAACACCUGUGGCGAAAGCGGCCUCACUGGACCAUAACUGACGCUGAUGCACGAAAAGCUAGGGGGAGCAAAACAGGAUU